UUGUCGAUUCAACGACAAAGGUAUAAUUUUCACCUGAAAUAAUUACGAUCAUCAGCCCAAAAUUGGGGUUUUUACGGUAAUUUUAGGUCUGGGGAAAUUGCAGCCGAUGUAAGUGCGGGCAUUGUUAGCGCUGCUUGAUGAAGUUAAUAUUGUUGAAUUAACCAUUCCGGCAGCAGUUGGUCUUGGCUGCAAGGGUUCUUGAAGAGCCAUUGAACAACCAUGUAGCAUGAGAAAGAUUGAUGACAUAUGAAGUCUAUUUGCAGUGCAGUUAUCAUCUUUGGAAAUGAGCUUAUAUGAUAACAAGACACGCUGCCUUUACAGAAAAGGUGAACCCUACAUCUGCUUCAUUGCAAGAACAAACCUGGUAUGGGAGCAGUAUACAAGCGUCCGUGAGACUUUUUCUCUCUCUGCUACUACUUUCUAAGUUAAUGUAACAAUCUUCAUGCGUGUAUAUUCACAUAAUAGCCUUGCAUAUAUUCACAGGUAAAUAUCUCAUAUCCACGAGUAAAUAUCUCCAAAGAUUGAAACUUUCUAGAGAUCGUUUUGUUAUUAGCUCAGUUAACUAAAUUCAAGUAGUCAUGUAAUCUUUGAAGGUUCAAAAAUGCAU